rnacentral:rRNA from 1 species
AUGUCGCCACUCCGCCUCCGCCUCCGGCCCCGCCUCCAUGCCCGCCACUCCUACUCCACCUCGCAUCCCUCACGCAGCCAGGGCUGGGAUCCCCACGCCGCCUUCGCUGCUGCCACGGAGCGAGCUCGAUCUGGCAACCUCACCUCGGAGGACGCACACAAGCUGUUCGACCAAUUGCUCCUGCAGGCUAAUCCGGUCAACAUGCGCCUUCCCAACGACCUUCUCACCGCCCUGGCUCGCGCGCCUGCGUCCGCAGCCUGCAGCAACGGCCCCGCCCUUGCCCUCGCCCUCUUCAGCCGUUUGUCCCAAGGUGCCCGCCAACGGGUGGUGCAGCCAACGGCCUGCACCUACGGCAUCCUCAUGGACUGCUGCUGCCGCGCAAACCGCCAGGAUCUGGCGCUCGCCUUCUUCGCCCGUCUCCUCAGGACGGGACUCAAGGCAGGCGUCAUAGAAGUCAACACUCUUCUCAAGGGACUCUGCCGCGCAAAGCGGGCUGAUGAGGCUCUGGACAUUCUGCUUCACAGGAUGCCUGAGCUAGGCUGCACCCCCAACGUGGUGGCAUAUAACACGGUCAUCCAUGGCUUCUUCCAAGAAGGCCAAGCAGGCAAGGCGUGCAGCUUGUUCCAUGAAAUGGCGCAGCAGGGCGUUGCGCCUAGUUUGGUGACAUAUAACUCGGUUAUUGAUGCGCUGUGCAAGGCCAGAGCCAUGGACAAGGCAGAGUAUUUCCUUCGUCAGAUGGUUGAUGAUGGUGUCGUACCUGAUAAUGUGACAUAUAAUAGCCUCAUCCAUGGAUAUUCCUCUUCAGGCCACUGGAAGGAGGCAGUUAGGGUAUUCAAAGAGAUGACAAGUCGGAGGGUUAAACCAAAUGUGCAUACUCACAACAUGUUUAUGACCUUUCUUUGCAAACAUGGAAGAAGCAAAGAAGCUGCAGGAAUUUUUGAUACCAUGGCUAUGAAGGGCCUGAAACAUAACAACGUUUCAUAUGCUAUUCUCCUUCACGGGUAUGCCACCGAAGGAUGCUUAGUUGAUAUGAUUAAUCUCUUCAAUUCAAUGGAAAGAUACUGCAUUCUACCUGACUGUCGUAUCUUCAACAUACUGAUUAAUGCACAUGCUAAAUCUGGGAAGCUUGAUAAGGCCAUGCUUAUCUUCAAUGAAAUGCAGAAACAAGGAGUGAGUCCAAAUGCAGUCACAUAUUCAACCAUAAUACAUGCAUUUUGCAAAAAGGGUAGGUUGGACGAUGCUGUGAUAAAGUUUAAUCAGAUGAUUGAUACAGGAGUACGACAGGGCACAGCUGUUUAUCGUUCCCUAAUCCAGGGUUUUUGUACACACGGCGAUUUGGUGAAAGCAAAGGAAUUGCUUACUGAAAUGAUGAACAAAGGUAUGCUUCCUCCUGAUAUUGCAUUCUUCAAUUCAAUCAUGCAGAACCUUUGCACAGAAGGAAGGGUAAUAGAAGCACGGGAUGUCCUUGGCUUGAUAGCGCACAUAGGUAUGAGGCCUGAUGUUUGCACAUUUAAUAUACUGAUCGGUGGAUACUGCCUAGUCGGCAAGAUGGAACAUGCCUCAAAAAUAUUUGAUGAUAUGAUGUCAUAUGGCUUAGAACCUUCUAAUAUUACGUAUGGUAUACUUAUUAAUGGCUAUUGCAAAAAUAGAAGGAUUGAUGACGGGCUUAUUCUGUUCAAAGAGAUGCUGCACAAGGGACUUAAACCUACAACUUUUAAUUAUAACGUCAUACUGGAUGGAUUAUUUCUGGCUGGACGAACUGUUGCUGCAAAGGAAAAGUUUGAUGAGAUGGUUGAAUCUGGAGUAAGUGUGUGCAUUGGUACAUAUUCGAUAGUUCUUGGUGGACUUUGUAGAAAUAAUUGUAGCGGCGAAGCAAUCACGCUAUUCCAGAAAUUAAGCACAAUGGAUGUGAAAUUCAAUAUUAUAAUUGUCAAUAUAAUGAUUGAUGCUUUCUACAAGGUUCAGCGAAACCAAGAAGCCAAGGAUUUGUUUGCUGCAGUAUCAGCCAAUGGUUUGGUAGCUAAUGUCUUUACCUACACCAUAAUGAUGAAAAAUCUUAUAAAAGAAGGGUCAGUGGAAGAAGCUGACGAUCUCUUUUUAUCAAUGGAGAAGAGCAGCUGUACUGCUGACUCUUAUAUGUUAAAUCUUAUCGUCAGAAUGUUACUGGGAAAAGGAGAGAUAGUCAAGGCUGGGAAUUAUAUAUCUAAAAUUGAUGCAAAGAGCUACUCACUUGAAGCUAAAACUGUUUCGCUGCUUAUCUCUCUCUUUUCAGGGAAAGGGAAAUAUAGAGAACACAUAGGAUUGCUCCCUGCAAAGUAUCGGUUUCGUGAAGAAGCAGCUACAGUUGUGUAG